rnacentral:rRNA from 3 species
UUUAUUGGAGAGUUUGAUCCUGGCUCAGGACGAACGCUGGCGGCAUGCCUAAUACAUGCAAGUCGAGCGGACUUGA